CAGAGAUGAGCUUGUUACUCAAGAAUCGGUAUCUCCUGGCAAACUGUAGCACUGUAUAGAUUAUUUCUCAAGGAAAUGCUGAGAACAGCACCGUGGGCAUGCCAAGACCCUCCAUCUUCAAAGUAUGACUGAAAGUUACUCCCCCAUCGGUAGACUGUCUGAUGAAGAAGGAAAAUGAAGAAGGUUCUGCUGGUGAGAGGCGAUACAGAUGAAUGAAAGCUAACCCUUUCCGAUGCUUCUUAUAUGAUGGCAUGGAUAGGGUGCUACUGGCCAGCAGGUGUUGUCAUCUGAAUUCGGGAAACACCUGUCCUUCCUGAAACCCUUGCUCUUGCGUGGAGCUGUCCUUUGCUCGGCUCUUCCCAGAGAGCAGCCGGCCGAGAGUCUAUUCUUGAAGAGGAUGCCUAAUAAAUUUAUCAGCAGUACUGUAUUCCACCCAAUAAAAUUAUUCUACAGUGACAUAU